rnacentral:rRNA from 1 species
UACGUAGAUCUCAAGCGUUAUCCGGAUUUAUCGGGCGUAAAGCGCAUGUAGGAGGUUUUGUGCGUCUUCUGUUAAAGCUCAGGGCCUAACCCUGAAAGUGCAGGAGAUACGACAGAACUAGAGGAGGUUAGAGGUGCAUGGAACUCACGGUGUAGGGGUGAAAUCCGGUGAUAUCGUGGGGAACAGCAAAGGCGAAGGCAGUGCACUGGGACCUUCCUGACUCUGAGAUGCGAAAGCGUGGGGAGCAAAAAGG